rnacentral:lncRNA from 1 species
CAUAUUUGUAGUGACAUUGCUAAGUUUAUUGAGAGGGCAGUGUAUGAGAGUCAAGAAUGUUGUCAUGGAGAAGCCUUAUUCCAUGUCCAUGAGGAACAAAUAUCAAAGUGUGUGAAUGCAAUGUGGAAACUUCAUUUGUUAUUCUUCUUUUAAUAUGUAUAUCAUGUGUCACAAUGAAUAAGAGCCAUGUGAAUAUACAAAAAUUAAAUGAAGCAAUGCCCCUGUUUCUGUCCUAGAAUAACAAGAAUAUAUGUAGUAUUCUGCCUUUGUAGACAUUCUGAAUAUGAUACAAGCUUGCAAUUAAUUGGUUUUCUGAGUUUACUGGGAAUAUACCCAAAGUCACACUGCAGAAAAUCCCUAAGGUACUAAGUAUUUGGCAAUUCUUCUCUUUGACCUGGUUCACUUUGCAAAUGUGGUUUGACUCAUACUAUAUGAAAAAUUAUGAAUACAGUCAGUGUGGUAAGUCUUUGAGUUGUUCCAUUGUUCUUCAGAUAUGUGAUAAUCAUAUAAAAUUCUCACAUACAAAAAGGAUGUUAUAAAUGUGAGCCGUGUAAUAAAUGCUCUUAUCAUGAUGGAUUUCUUCAAAGAUGUAAAACAACCCAUAAUGAGGGGGAACACCAUGAAAAUAAACAAAGUGAUAACCUUAAGAUCUGAUUCAUCUUUACCAUUAGACCAAAUUAUGAAAUUCAUAAAACUAUUAAAAAGUUUGAAUAUGGUAAAGUUUUAACAUGUACCAAUUAUUGUUGCAGGAAUGAAAGAAGUCGUAUUGGAGAGAAACCCUAUGAAUGUUAUCAAUGUGGGGAUUACAGUUACAUGAUUGGAUGACUCUCAGAAGAGACUGUGACCUUUGGACUUUUAACAUAUUUGAGACUGGUAUAGAUGAUGGGGACUUUUGAAGUUUGACCACAUGUAUUUUCCAUUAUGCCAUGUUUAAGAAUGGUUCCCAUACAUUCCUGUACUCCAACAAGCUUAUGGGGCCAGUAAGUGGAAUGUGGGAGUUUGAAUUUGCUUGUCACAAGGAGUGGCUCUAUUAAGAGGUGUGACCUUGUUGGAGGAAGUGGAUAUCUCUGGGGGUGGACUUUCAAGCUCCACCAAGUGCAAAACAGACCCUCCAAUUCCCUCCCUGGAAGACAGUUUCUUCCUGGCUGCCUUUGGAUCAAAAUGCAGAACUUACAGCUCUUUCUCCAGCAUCAUGACUUCUUGCAUGCUGCCAUGCUUCCUGCUAUGAUGAAAAAUGGACUAAACCUCUGAAACUGUAAGCCAGCCCCAAUUAAAGGUUUGCUUUAAUGAGAGUUGCCUUGGUCA